UCGUACGCUGGGCUAUAAUUUAUGAAACUGAGCCCCAGAUCCAGCCAAUCACUUAGCUCCUCAUAACAAGUCUGACUGGCUCUGGAAAGCUGAAAGGGCUGCACUAGAACAACAAAGAUGAGAUAUUCCACAUAACACUCAGCUUAUCUGGAAUCACUUUCCCUUGCAAGGCCAGAAAAAAAAUCAUAGCUUUACUGCCCAAGGGAAGCACAACAAAGGACUGGGAAAUGCGACUUCACCUGGAGCAA
rnacentral:lncRNA from 1 species